UACGAAGGGGGCUAGCGUUGCUCGGAAUCACUGGGCGUAAAGCGCACGUAGGCGGGUUCUUAAGUCAGGGGUGAAAUCCUGGAGCCCAACUCCAGAACUGCCUUUGAUACUGGGAAUCUCGAGUCCGGGAGAGGUGAGUGGAACUGCGAGUGUAGAGGUGAAAUUCGUAGAUAUUCGCAAGAACACCAGUGGCGAAGGCGGCUCACUGGCCCGGUACUGACGCUGAGGUGCGAAAGCGUGGGGAGCAAACAGG
rnacentral:rRNA from 1 species